AUUAGGUUGGUGCAAAAGUAAUUUGUGGUUUUUGACAUCAGUUUUAAUGGCAAAAACUGCAGUUACUUUUGCACCAA
rnacentral:miRNA from 1 species